AUGCAGUCGAACGAAGAGGCCCCUUCGGGGGUACUUAGUGGCGCACGGGUGAGGAACGCGUGGGAACCUACCCUCGGUACGGAAUAACUACGGGAAACUGUAGCUAAUACCGUAUACGCCCUAUGGGGGAAAGAUUCAUCGCCGAUGGAUGGUCCCGCGCCCGAUUAGCUUGUUGGUGAGGUAACGGCUCACCAAGGCUACGAUCGGUAGCUGGUCUGAGAGGAUGAUCAGCCACACUGGAACUGAGACACGGUCCAGACUCCUGCGGGAGGCAGCAGUGGGGAAUAUUGGACAAUGGGCGCAAGCCUGAUCCAGCCAUGCCGCGUGAGUGAAGAAGGCUUUAGGGUUGUAAAGCUCUUUCAGCAGGGAAGAUGAUGACGGUACCUGCAGAAGAAGCCCCGGCUAACUCCGUGCCAGCAGCCGCGGUAUACGGAGGGGGUUAGCGUUGAA
rnacentral:rRNA from 1 species